rnacentral:rRNA from 1 species
UAGGGAAUCUUCCGCAAUGGACGCAAGUCUGACGGAGCAACGCCGCGUGAGUGAAGAAGGAUUUCGGUUCGUAAAACUCUGUCGUUAGAGAAGAACAGCGCAUAGAGUAACUGUUAUGCGUGUGACGGUAUCUAACCAGAAAGCUACGGCUAACUACGUGCCAGCAGCCGCGGUAAUACGUAGGUGGCAAGCGUUGUCCGGAUUUAUUGGGCGUAAAGCGAGCGCAGGCGGUCAAUUAAGUCUGAUGUGAAAGCCCCCGGCGCAACCGGGGAGGGUCAUUGGAAACUGGUUGGCUUGAGUGCAGAAGAGGAGGGUGGAAUUCCAUGUGUAGCGGUGAAAUGCGUAGAUAUAUGGAGGAAAACCAGGGGCGAAGGCGACUCUCUGGUCUGUAACUGACGCUGAGGCUCGAAAGCGUGGGUAGCAAACAGG